rnacentral:sRNA from 1 species
GCGGUGUACAAGCGCGGACCGCAACGCAUCCAAAGCCAACAACAACUGAAAUAAACAAUCAUCGUAAUAGUGUGCUUGCCCAAAAAUAAAAAGCGCGUCGAGUGCAACGGUGUCACUAAAACAGACUGUUAACUUCAGUGCAAGCAAACAACCCCCGCGUCGGGCAACCAUUAUAAAUUAUACUAAAAAAAGCAGUUGUGUUCUUACCAGCGGUGGUUGUGAUGCUGGACGCAGACCAGCAAUGCAGCAGCUCUAACAAAAUCAAAUUUAACCGUUUUCGUAGAGUUUUUUGCGCGUAAAAUUGAUUGGAGAAAACCUACUUAGUGUGCAGCAUAAAAUUGAAAGAGCAAAACCGCACCGUCUCGAUUUAGAUAUAUAUCUCGUAGAUAUAUUGCCAGCUCCAUAUACAUGAAUGUAUAGCAACAAACAUCCAUAAUACCCAAUUAUAUAUGUAUAUACAUAUAUAUAAAUAUAUAUUUUGUACGAUUCGGCAAUACCAAAGUUUAACAUAAAUAGAACAAGAGGAAUAAUAAUAAUAAUAAUAAUAAGAAGAAGAAGAAGAAGCAGCAACAAUAACGGCGGCUGCAUCAGAA